GACGAACGCUGGCGGCGCGCCUAACACAUGCAAGUCGAACGAGAGAUGAGGAGCUUGCUCUUCAAAUCGAGUGGCGAACGGGUGAGUAACGCGUGAGGAACCUGCCUCAAAGAGGGGGACAACAGUUGGAAACGACUGCUAAUACCGCAUAAGCCCACGGCUCGGCAUCGAGCAGAGGGAAAAGGAGCAGUCCGCUUUGAGAUGGCCUCGCGUCCGAUUAGCUAGUUGGUGAGGUAACGGCCCACCAAGGCGACGAUCGGUAGCCGGACUGAGAGGUUGAACGGCCACAUUGGGACUGAGACACGGCCCAGACUCCUACGGGAGGCAGCAGUGGGGAAUAUUGCACAAUGGGGGAAACCCUGAUGCAGCGACGCCGCGUGGAGGAAGAAGGUCUUCGGAUUGUAAACUCCUGUUGUUGAGGAAGAUAAUGACGGUACUCAACAAGGAAGUGACGGCUAACUACGUGCCAGCAGCCGCGGUAAAACGUAGGUCACAAGCGUUGUCCGGAAUUACUGGGUGUAAAGGGAGCGCAGGCGGGAGAACAAGUUGGAAGUGAAAUCCAUGGGCUCAACCCAUGAACUGCUUUCAAAACUGUUUUUCUUGAGUAGUGCAGAGGUAGGCGGAAUUCCCGGUGUAGCGGUGGAAUGCGUAGAUAUCGGGAGGAACACCAGUGGCGAAGGCGGCCUACUGGGCACCAACUGACGCUGAGGCUCGAAAGUGUGGGUAGCAAACAGGAUUAGAUACCCUGGUAGUCCACACCGUAAACGAUGAUUACUUAGGUGUUGGAGGAUUGACCCCUUCAGUGCCGCAGUUAACACAAUAAGUAAUCCACCUGGGGAGUACGACCGCAAGGUUGAAACUCAAAGGAAUUGACGGGGGCCCGCACAAGCAGUGGAGUAUGUGGUUUAAUUCGUCGCAACGCGAAGAACCUUACCAAGUCUUGACAUCCCUUGACGAACAUAGAAAUAUGUUUUCUCUUCGGAGCAAGGAGACAGGUGGUGCAUGGUUGUCGUCAGCUCGUGUCGUGAGAUGUUGGGUUAAGUCCCGCAACGAGCGCAACCCUUAUGGUCAGUUACUACGCAAGAGGACUCUGGCCAGACUGCCGUUGACAAAACGGAGGAAGGUGGGGAGGACGUCAAAUCAUCAUGCCCCUUAUGACUUGGGCUACACACGUACUACAAUGGCGUUAAACAAAGAGAAGCAAGACCGCGAGGUGGAGCAAAACUCAGAAACAACGUCCCAGUUCGGACUGCAGGCUGCAACUCGCCUGCACGAAGUCGGAAUUGCUAGUAAUCGUGGAUCAGCAUGCCACGGUGAAUAAGUUCCCGGGCCUUGUACACACCUCCCGUCA
rnacentral:rRNA from 1 species